GGGAGACAGCGGGCAGCGCCAGAGGAGGAGGACGCGGGAAGAUGGAGCUGCCCACGGCCUGCAGUCCGUGCCUCUCUGCCCGCGCGGGGACCACACAGUUGGAGAGGCUGCCGGGCACCGGCGCGGGCGAUGCUCAGCAUGGACCUCCGGCCGGCCAGCCUGGGCUUGUUUUCCCGGUAGUACUGGGUUCUGAGAGAGAGUAACUGCAUGGAAGGCCUUGAAGACUGGGCUUGGGCCUGCUGUACCCACAUGACUGCUUCUGCCACGUUCUACUGGCCAAGCUCUAUGGGCAGCUCAGACACAAGGGAAGAGACUCUGCUGCUUCCUGGGAGAAGCUGCAAGACCACAUUGCGAAGGAACAUGUUGUUGCUGCUCCCAUGUUACCUUCGUCAGUGACCUGAGAUGCAGACUGGAUCUAGGGAAUGGUGUUUCCUGUGUGAUGCCUUCCAGGAGUAUCUGCACCACGGGCAGUGCCAGGCCGAGGACAGAGGGCCUAAUGGAGGACACUCUACAACUCCAUCCUGCUGCUGGGGGGGCUUGGGGGCGCCUCCACGAGGGUCUUCAGAGGAAAGGCAUGUGUGUGGUCUGUGGCCUGCCAGCAGGAGAGCUGGGGGAGGCCGGCAUCUUGAGGCUGUUGGCAGCAAGUGCAGGCAGAGGCCUCGGGCCAGAGGGGAGGUGGCAGGGCUCAGGUGCCCUGUGCUUCCUCGGAGAAGGCACUUGGGAUGAAGGCUUAGUCCUGCCUGGUAAACCUGGAGGCCUGUGAACACUGGGGUUAGCCCCAACAAGGGAGGAGGUUCCCGCUGCCUCACUAAGAACAGCCUGCUGCUACACUCACCCUGACAGCUGCUCCGCUCCCAGUGAACCCCACCCCGAGAAGGCUCAUCGGGGCCACGGACCUCCCUCAGCGCUGCAUUCAGAAUCCCUCAGGAGUUGUAAACUUCCU
rnacentral:lncRNA from 1 species